rnacentral:rRNA from 1 species
UACGUAGGGGGCAAGCGUUGUCCGGAUUCAUUGGGCGUAAAGAGCGUGUAGGCGGCCAGGUAGGUCGGUUGUGAAAACUGGAGGCUCAACCUUCAGAGGUCGACCGAAACCAUCUGGCUAGAGUCCGGGAGAGGAGAGUGGAAUUCCUGGUGUAGCGGUGAAAUGCGCAGAUAUCAGGAGGAACACCGGUGGCGAAGGCGGCUUGCUGGGCCAGUUCUGACGCUGAGGAGCGAAAGCGUGGGGAGCGAACAGG